ensembl:lncRNA
CUUGAAAAGCGAAAUAGGGGGUGCUGAAGUAACACAGAGAGUGUUCCUGCAGGAAGAACCUUGCACUUGGGCAGAGGUUGGGUGAUCAGAAUCACAAGAUUGGAGGCAGCCCAUUGAUCUGGGUCUCACAACUCUGAGGAAGGUGCUACCUCUAACUGGUACCAGCAUCACAGCAGCUCGGAGGAGGUGCCCUUAGAGGUGGGACGGAGACCUCUGAGGAUGGGACUAUAUCGUGCUGCUGUGCUACUGGUCCAUCGGAGGUUAGUUCAGUGAGGCUGAUUUGAUCCUGGGAGUUCUAAAACCCAAACCAAACCCAAACUCAAAACCGAAUCAACCAACUAACCAACCAACAAACAAAUCCUGGAGAAUAGAAUCAGCUCCACUAUCAGGAUGAAGAGUCAUUGCUGAGGGAUACUGGCAAGACAGGAACAGAUAGAAAGGAACAAGUAUCCCCUCCCCUGCUUCAACCUUCCAGUCUUUUUCUUUUGCUCUCUGUUGGUGGGAACUAAAAGGGUUCCAGCUGACAAAGAAGAGUCCCAGAGUCCAAACCCCAGCAUCACAAAGUGGAGUAUGGAUGGGUGAGUUUAGGGCUGAGGGAGGAUAGUUAAUGACAGCACAGCUCCAGUUGGUUCUGUGUCUGAAGCUUGUGAGGACAUGAGGGACAGCUAUAACAGCACCCUGCAGUGCACAGUAGCUCCCAGGGAACCAGAGACAGUGCAGAGAGUGUUAUUGUACCCUCAGGUGCUAGUAUGUGAAGACCCUGAAGAUCACUGAUGUCAGAAGAGUGUGAGCACAUUAGAAUGUGCGUCAGCUGAGCUCAUGGAAGGUCUGCUCAGGUCUGUCUAUGCAGGAAGGCUGACUGGAGAAUACUCCUUCCUUGAUUAUUAGAGACAUAUUGUAAGUAUCUGGAUUUGUACCACCUGUCACAAAGAAAAAUGAAGACUACCUUAUCCUUGACCUUAAUGAGCUUUAGUCUUUCCAGGAGAGAUGACUAAGAACUAUAGAUCCAGGCAGAGAGAGAAAACCAUGAGAAAGGAGCCAACACAAUUCCCAAAGGGUCCAUGGUGAAGGAUACUUUUCAAAGUGGGAGGCCAGAGACUGGUCAGAAUUGUGCUUAAAUAACUGAAGAAAAUGGGAGAAGCAGUCAUUUUGAUGUCUGAAGCUGAGCAGAGCUACAGUGAGGGCUGUCCGAAUUGAGGCAGCAAUCUUGAUUAGGGAUAGUCUAAAUCAGUGGUUAGGUCAGUGAUCACAACUGAGUGGAGCUCUGUCAUUCUCAUAGUACUGUUCCUGGAAAAACAGCAUCAGCAUUACCUAGGAAUUUGUUAAAAAGGUGAAUUCUUGGGCUUCUCCCCAGACCUACAGAAUUGGAAGUUCUGGAGAUUGGGCUCAGUUGUCUGUGUUUCAACAAGUUCUCCAGGUGAUUCUGAUGCACACUCACUUUUUUUUUUUUUUUUUUGGUGAGGAAGAUUGGCCCUGAGCUAACAUCUGUACCAAUCUUCCUCUAUUUUGCAUGUCAGACACUGCCACAACAUGGCUUGAUGAUCCGUGUGUAGGUCUGCAUUCAGGAUCCGAACCCAUGAAGCAGAGCAUGUGAACCUAACCACCAUGCAACUGGGCCGGCCCCUGCACACUCACAUUUGAGAACCAGUGGUCUAGAUAAAAGAAAAUCCUGAUGAGAAGCCCACUCUAUGUAUUUGAAAAAAAACAGAAACCAAAAGCCAAAACAGUUCCAAACCUUUAUUGGGAGAUAUUUUUGUGUCCAGGGAGCUCCAACAACAGGCCCCCAAAUCCAUCUACAAGACAUGAUUUUUCCUUUCCUUCAGAGGAUAAUUCAGCAGAACCUGGCAACGUCUUCACCAG